rnacentral:rRNA from 1 species
CCUACGGGAGGCUGCAGUGGGGGAUAUUGCACAAUGGGGGGAACCCUGAUGCAGCGACGCCGCGUGGGUGAAGGAGCGUUUCGGCGCGUAAAGCCCUAUCGGCAGGGAAGAAGAUGACGGUACCUGGCCACGAAGCCCCGGCUAACUACGGGCCAGCAGCCGAGGUAAGAAGUAGGGGGCAAGCGUGAUCCGGAUUUACUGGGGGUAAAGGGGGCGUAGGGCGCAAUGCAAGCCAGGAGUGAAAGCCCGGGGCCCAACCCCGGGACUGCUCUUGGAACUGAAUGGCUUGAGUACAGGAGGGGCAGGCGGAAUUCCUAGUGUAGCGGUGAAAUGCGUAGAUAUUAGGAGGAACACCGGUGGCGAAGGCGGCCUACUGGACUGUAACUGACGUUGAGGCCCGAAGGCGUGGGGAGCGAACAGGAUUAGAUACCCUAGUAGUC